UCCCAGACUCCUACGGGAGGCAGCAGUGAGGAAUAUUGGUCAAUGGCCGGAAGGCUGAACCAGCCAAGCCGCGUGAAGGACGAAGGUGCCAAGCAUUGUAAACUUCUUUUGUCAAGGGACAAAAUCAGGCUCGAGAGCCUGACCGAGGGUACUUGAAGAAAAAGCAUCGGCUAACUCCGUGCCAGCAGCCGCGGUAAUACGGAGGAUGCGAGCGUUAUCCGGAUUUAUUGGGUUUAAAGGGUGGGUAGGGGGGGCUGUAAGUCAGGUGUAAAAGGCCGGGGCCCAACCCCGGGCGAGCCGUUGAAACUGGCUGUCUUGAGAUGUCGAGAGGUAUGCGGAAUGCGCAGUGUAGCGAUGAAAUGCUUAGAUAUUGCGCAGAACUCCGAUUGCGAAGGCAGCAUACCGGCGGCGAUCUGACGCUGAGGCACGAAAGCGUGGGUAUCGAACAGGAUUAGAUACCCCAGUA
rnacentral:rRNA from 1 species